ensembl:lncRNA ST3GAL6-AS1 ST3GAL6 antisense RNA 1
GCGCGCCCUCGCCGGGCGCCGGGACCGGAAAAUCACCGCGAAGGGAGGGACGAGGAAAGGCGGCGGGUGGCUUCAGGACAAGGACUUUGUGAUUACAUUGGGCCCAUCCAGAUCAUCCAGGAUCAUCUUCCCAUCUCAAGAUUCUUCACUUAAUCACAUCUGCAAAAUUCCUUUUGCUGUCUGUGAGAUAUCGGUGGGCGAGGAUGUGAUGCCUGAAGAUGUGGCAUCUACCUUGAAACAGUCAAGGACCUGAGGAUGAAGCCAGCAUCUGAGGAAGACAGACAGAAAGGAUCUGGAUACAUCAUGAGCCUGAAAAGUAUCUUGCAUACACAACUGGCAGCACAGAAUCCUGACAAACCUCUCAUCAGAAAUCAACCACAGACUCUUUAUGCUCUUACCAAAAUGCUGGCUUUGAGAACUAAUUAUGAAUGAAAAUUACUGAUGUGAUUUUCAGUCUAGGGAAGAAUAUCAAGUUAAACUUUAUGAAGUCCAAGACAAUGGGAAAAGAAGAGGUGUUCCUGUCCAGGCCCUCUUCCAGUUAGAAGUCCACAGGGCCUGAAAAUUGCUUCCAGCAACUGACAAGUUCAUCCCCUUCCAACUGGUCUGACAAGCCCUGAGGAAGGAGGAAGACAGUGAUAUCCACCCCCCGCUGCCCCUACCUCCUUAACUGUAAAAUUGUCCAUCUCAUCUUGAACUAUCCAGAAACCAACAUGGGACUACACAAAACCACUACUUGAAGUCAGCACCAAAAGAGUUGUCUGUGGAAAAUGGUUGACCAGGGUCAACGUUAUUUAUAGAUGUGCAACAAACUGCCUACCUUCUAGUCUUCAAUUAUCUGCAUAUGUAUAGGAGAUGUUGGAAAUUUGUUUUUGGACUGAUUCUUUGAAGCCUUACCUCCUUGCAUAGUCCUGAUAGAAUAACAAAUUAGGUUCCCAAUAUUGAGUGAGAAGAGUGGGUUUCAGGAGUCAUUCACACACUGCAUUCUGCCUUCCAGAGGCAGUGGGAGGCA